rnacentral:rRNA from 1 species
GAUGAACGCUAGCGGCAGGCCUAAUACAUGCAAGUCGAACGGUGUCUUCGGACAUAGUGGCGCACGGGUGCGUAACACGUAUGCAACCUACCUUACAUUGGGGGAUAGCCUUUCGAAAGGGAGAUUAAUACCGCAUAAGACAGUAACUAGGCAUCUAGUAGCUGUUAAAGAUUUAUCGAUGUAAGCUGGGCAUGCGUCCAAUUAGCUAGUUGGUGAGGUAACGGCCCACCAAGGCAAUGAUUGGUAGGGGAACUGAGAGGUCAAUCCCCCACACUGGCACUGGGAUACGGGCCAGACUCCUACGGGAGGCAGCAGUAGGGAAUAUUGGGCAAUGGACGCAAGUCUGACCCAGCCAUGCCGCGUGCAGGAUGAAGGCGUUAUGCGUUGUAAACUGCUUUUAUACAGGAAGAAACGACUCUUGCGAGAGGCAUUGACGGUACUGUAUGAAUAAGCACCGGCUAACUCCGUGCCAGCCGCCGCCGUAAAAC